rnacentral:misc_RNA from 1 species
GCGCAGUUUUAAGAACAACAAAACAAAUCUGGCUCGUGCGGCGCCAUCACUCUGCUGUAGAGAAGGGUGGGUAAGGCGUGUGGAGCGCCUAGCGUUCUCACCCUUUACUCACUUUUGUGUAAAAACAAAAAAUACAAAAAAAUAGAUCAAGAAGUAAACCCUAUUGUGGCUUAGUUCCGAACCCCAGCCAGAGAAGAUGAACUCAGCAGGCCAAAACUAUCCCAUGGCGUCUCUGUACGUCGGAGAUCUUCACCCUGACGUUACCGAAGCUAUGCUGUUUGAGAAGUUUUCGACUGCUGGACCAGUGCUAUCCAUCCGUGUCUGCAGGGACAUGAUCACAAGACGUUCACUGGGAUAUGCAUACGUUAACUUCCAGCAGCCCGUUGACGCCGAGCGCGCCCUGGACACGAUGAAUUUCGACGUGGUGAAGGGUCGUCCGAUCCGCAUCAUGUGGUCCCAGCGCGACCCGUCGCUGCGCCGCUCCGGCGUCGGCAACAUCUUCAUCAAGUCGCUGGACAAGUCGAUCGACAACAAGGCCAUGUACGACACGUUCUCGGCCUUCGGCAACAUCAUGAGCUGCCGCGUGGCCACCGACGAGAACGGCGUCUCCAAGGGCUACGGCUUCGUCCACUUCGAGACCGAGAAGGCCGCCACUGAGGCCAUCGACAAGGUGAACGGUAUGCUGCUGAACGGCAAGAAGGUGUUUGUCGGCCGCUUCAUCCCGCGCAAGGAGCGUGAGAAGGAGCUGGGUGAGAAGGCCCGCCGCUUCACCAACGUCUACGUCAAGAACUUCGGCACCGAGCUGGACGAGCAGAAGCUGAGGGAGAUGUUCGAGAAGUUCGGCACCAUCUCCAGCCUGAAGGUCGUCACUGGCGAGGAUGGCACCUCCAAGGGUUUCGGCUUUGUCAGCUUCGAGGAGCCCGAAUCUGCCGAGGCAGCCGUCAACGAGCUCAACAACAAGGAGCUGAACGGCAAGACGCUCUACGUCGGCCGCGCCCAGAAGAAGGCCGAGCGCCAGCAGGAGCUCAAGCGCAAGUUCGAGCAGAUCAAGCUGGAGCGCAUGAACCGCUACCAGGGCGUCAACCUGUACGUCAAGAACCUGGACGACGGCAUCGACGACGAGCGUCUGCGACGGGAGUUCGCCCAGUUUGGCACAAUCACCAGCGCACGCGUCAUGAUGGAGGACGGACGCAGCCGCGGCUUCGGCUUCGUCUGCUUCUCGUCGCCCGAGGAGGCCACCAAGGCCGUCACUGAGAUGAACGGUCGCAUCGUAUCGUCCAAGCCGCUGUACGUGGCGCUCGCCCAGCGCAAGGAGGACCGCAAGGCGCACCUGGCCAGCCAGUACAUGCAGCGCAUGACGGGCAUGCGGAUGCCGGGCGUGAGCCCCAUGUUCCAGGCGGGCGCCGGCGGCUACUUCGUGCCGACAAUGCCGCAGGCGGCGCAGCGGUUCUACCCGCCGGCGCAGAUGGCGCACCAGAUGCGGCCCGGACCGCGCUGGCAGCAGCCGGCCGGCGGACAGAUGCGGCUCGGCGGACAGCCGCAGCCGGCGGGUAUGCCGGCGGCGCCGUUCCGCGCGCAGACGCCGCGCCAGCCGACGCCGGCCGGCGUGAUGCGCGGCAUGCAGGCGCCAUCGCGCCCCAUCACGGGCCAGCAGCCGAUGCUGCCGGCCGGCAUGCAGGCGCGCGCCAUGGCGCCCCAGCCGGCUCACCUGGCGCAGCAGCGGCCCAACAGCUACAAGUACACGCCCAACAUGCGUAACCCGCCGCAGGCGCCGCUCUCGGCGGUGGCGCAGUCGUCGAUGGCGCCGCAGCCGCUGGCGCAGCCGGCCGUGCGCGUGCAGGGCCAGGAGCCGCUGACGGCCAGUAUGCUGGCCGCCGCCCCCGAGCAGGAGCAGAAACAGAUGCUCGGAGAGCGACUCUACCCGAUGAUCCAGCGCAUGUACCCGGAGCUGGCCGGCAAGGUGACCGGCAUGCUGUUGGAGAUCGACAACUCCGAGCUGGUGCACAUGCUGGAGCACCACGAGUCGCUCAAGGGCAAGGUGGACGAGGCGGUGGCCGUGCUGCAGGCCCACCAGACCAAGGCGGCCGCUGCUGCCGCUGCCGCUGCCGCUGGUGCCCCGGAGGCGGCCCAGGCUGCUCCCGUCCCUGCCAAGGAGUAAAAACCUGACGGCCGGCUGACGGUCAGUCUCUGGCCGACCAGCCCGACCGGCGGACGUGUAUAAAAAUAGUAAAACCCCGAAGAAAAAUGUAAAAAGAAAACGUUGGCAAUAUGCCGAGAGGUGUGAACGGUUGGGGUUCGGAACUUAGCCGCAAGUGAGUGUGUAGGUGGCGGGCGUCUGCUCGGCGGCGGCAGCUGAGGUUGGUGGUGGGUCACCGCCGGCCGCCGCUGCCGCCGCCGACUGGCGUCCCGCGGCGCCGGCCGACCGGCGGGGUCCGGCGGGCUGCCGACUCCGCCUGCCGGCCGGCGCGCCCUGCUUCUGUCCUGUCCUCCACCCACUCUGCCAUAGUCACUGUAGCGCCGACGAGCGCCCUGGGACCAUGGCGUCCACGCUGGCGCCGCAUCCAGAGAGAAAAUCGCCAAAAAAAUCGCAAAAGGAAAAAGAACGAUCGGCCCCUGCCGUGAUCAGUAGUGUCGUGAGAUGUCGUAUAACACCAAAUUGGUUGCUUCCGGACGGCGGAGGGCACGCCCGCGCCGUCCCCCCACUCCUAGACGAGUGGUGCCGCCUUUCUGUUGGCCAGAGCCCCCGCUCCCGGCCGAGACGAUAGAGCUAGCUGGCUCACUUUCGAGCUGCUUACCGCGUCAUUGCCCACCAAGAUGAUACGUGUGUAUAAAAUGAUAAAACAUCUUUUUUAUAAAAAGCUCAAAAUAGCUCUCGCUUAGGGAGAUUGAGAAAAGCUCAUAACAGAAAGUGCCAGAAAACCUUCGAACAAUAAAAAAAUAAACCCGACGACUGAUUGCUCGUCCUUUCAUCAGCGCCUUGCGUGACGCACGGGGUGGCAGUGACGACCACCGGGUCACUGACCUUCGGUACAGCGCGCUGUGGCCGACCCCUGCGCUGUAUAUACUUCCUCCUCUGUUCUGUGCUUAUGUGGUUUCUCUUCUUCGCCAUCUUAUGUUUUGACGUUCCUUCGUUUCGAAAAUAAACUUUCUUCUCUAA